rnacentral:rRNA from 1 species
UUGGUUAAGUUAGAAAGGGCACACGGUGGAUGCCUUGGCACUAGGAGCCGAAGAAGGACGGGACUAACACCGAUAUGCUUUGGGGAGCUGUACGUAAGCGUUGAUCCAGAGAUUUCCGAAUGGGGGAACCCACUAUCUUUAGUCGGAUAGUAUCCUUACGUGAAUACAUAGCGUGAGGAAGGCAGACCCAGGGAACUGAAACAUCUAAGUACCUGGAGGAAGAGAAAGAAAAAUCGAUUUCCUGAGUAGCGGCGAGCGAAACGGAAAGAGCCCAAACCAAGAAGCUUGCUUCUUGGGGUUGUAGGACACUCUAUACGGAGUUACAAAAGAAAGUUAUAAAUGAAGCGGUCUGGAAAGGCCCGCCAAAGACGGUAACAGCCCGGUAGUUGAAAUGGCUUUCCCUCCAGAGUGGAUCCUGAGUACGGCGGAACACGUGAAAUUCCGUCGGAAUCCGGGAGGACCAUCUCCCAAGGCUAAAUACUCCCUAGUGACCGAUAGUGAACCAGUACCGUGAGGGAAAGGUGAAAAGCACCCCGGAAGGGGAGUGAAACAGUUCCUGAAACCGUGUGCCUACAAGUAGUUAGAGCCCGUUAAUGGGUGAUAGCGUGCCUUUUGUAGAAUGAACCGGCGAGUUACGAUUUGUUGCAAGGUUAAGCGGAAAAAGCGGAGCCGUAGCGAAAGCGAGUCUGAAUAGGGCGCAUAAGUAACAGGUCGUAGACCCGAAACCAGGUGAUCUACCCAUGUCCAGGAUGAAGGUAAGGUAAUACUUACUGGAGGUCCGAACCCACGCACGUUGAAAAGUGCGGGGAUGAGGUGUGGGUAGCGGAGAAAUUCCAAUCGAACUUGGAGAUAGCUGGUUCUCUCCGAAAUAGCUUUAGGGCUAGCCUCGAGGUAAAGAGUCAUGGAGGUAGAGCACUGUUUGGACUAGGGGCCCUUCUCGGGUUACCGAAUUCAGAUAAACUCCGAAUGCCAUGUACUUAUACUCGGGAGUCAGACUGCGAGUGAUAAGAUCCGUAGUCGAAAGGGAAACAGCCCAGACCACCAGUUAAGGUCCCCAAAUAUAUGUUAAGUGGAAAAGGAUGUGGGGUUGCUUAGACAACCAGGAUGUUGGCUUAGAAGCAGCCACCAUUGAAAGAGUGCGUAAUAGCUCACUGGUCGAGUGACCCCGCGCCGAAAAUGUACCGGGGCUAAACAUAUUACCGAAACUGUGGAUGAACCUCUUUAGAGGUUCGUGGUAGGAGAGCGUUCUAAGGGCGGUGAAGUCAGACCGGAAGGACUGGUGGAGCGCUUAGAAGUGAGAAUGCCGGUAUGAGUAGCGAAAGAAGGGUGAGAAUCCCUUCCACCGAAUAUCUAAGGUUUCCUGAGGAAGGCUCGUCCGCUCAGGGUUAGUCGGGACCUAAGCCGAGGCCGAUAGGCGUAGGCGAUGGACAACAGGUAGAGAUUCCUGUACCAGUGCUAAUUGUUUAACCGAUGGGGUGACACAGAAGGAUAGGGAAUCGCACGAAUGGAAAUGUGCGUCCAAGCAGUGAGUGUGAG